UGCCCUUGCACUUGUCAGCCUGCUGGCACAGAUUGGUGAACCAGCAGCAGUGCUGCUCUGAGGAACCUCCACAAUUUCCCCUAAAAUGAAAGCACUAUCCUUUCUUUAGAACGCCAUGUAUUUCCUCCCAAAUGCUUUCUCCCCUCACCCAUUCCCAGCCAUGCUGGCUGAUCUCCUACAGGGUACCUCAACAGCUGCCAUCAGCUGGCUCUGCUCUUCGUGCAUAGCCUUGGGUCACCCAACAAAAAGUGCUGGUGCUGCCUACUGGAGGUGACCACCUGUGCUUCCUCCUGGGUACAGGAGCAGUGCUACCUCCCAGAUGCACCAGCUUGUCCAGGCAGUGCCCUCACCCUUCUUGGAGAUAGUUCUGUGUUUCCCACUGACAUUCGGGUGGUGUCAUCUCUGAGUACUUCAGGAUGGACCAUGCAGCAUUUUGGCACUGACAUCCCUCAGCAAAGUUGCUCAAAUUUGCUGCAGUUUACGCCAAGUGUAGUAGAAGUUGCACACACAGUGUAGGGGGGAAGAAAAUAAGAGGGUACAUGUUUAAAGAGAAAACAAAGCGCGUGUGCCUCACGUUUUGAGAUGCACUGGGAGAACUGUAGCUACUGCAUAACUCAGAAUAUGUAGCAUGGGGGACUGAGCGAUGUGUCUGCACGUGCAUUUGCAGGCAUUGCUUUUAAAGCAUGAGCUGAUUGCCACAUUUAAGCAUUUCAGCUCAGAAUUUAGAACAGUGUACUCAGUAAUCUUCUUGCUGACAAUUGGUUGGGUACGUGGCCGAGCUCACAUGAUGCUGCUCCAGGAAGAGAAAGAUAGACACGAUUGUGCCUUCGCUGUAUGUUUGCCAGCAGCAGUGAUAAACUGAGUGCUGCCCAAAACAAGAAAGAAAAAGCCCAUUUUGGUCCUUCAGCUGACACAGGAACCAAGAACACUCGCCUGCCAGGAGGUUGUGCGGACUGUGGAAGUUAGAAAAUAUCUCCUACUCCUAACAAUGGAGAGAAAAAAAAAAAUCCAAGUGGAAACAUAAAAGAAAUGGACACAUCCUGUGUUAGCUGGUAAGCCACAGAAAUGAAGAACAAAUACAAGAAUUCAAACUAAGAAUGCAAUUUCCACAAUAUCCUUCCUUCUAUUCCCCUGCUUCCCCCUCCCCUCUCACUGGGGCAUGAGAAUGUUCCCUGAUUUAAGACGACGCCCUAUUGUGAGGGCUAUAUGUGUGUUUUUCUAAUUGCGUGGUGUCUGCCAUGGUCUGCCAGUCAGUCUGUACUACAGAAACAAAAUGCCCCCCUCUCCCACCUCUCACUGGUAUUCCAAGUUUCUGGAGUGAGGCACUGCGAGUUGGGCUUUUCUGAUCAUAGAGCAGUCCCAGAAGGUUCUGGAUGGGGACUUUCAAGCAGAUAUUCAGUAAGUGAUGCUGUGUGAUGAAUCCUAAUGGCACUUUUCCUCCGCUGUCUGAAAGAAAACGUAUUUGAGGCACUCCAGAGAAAAAGGAGAAUCUCUGAGGACCUGCUGAUCUGCUCCCACUCCUCCCACUGGUUGGACUGCUGGAGAGCUUUGGCAAAGUUAAGGACUCAGUGACUAUAUCAAUCUUCGCUUACACAAAAAGCGUGUUAUCUGUUAUUUGCUCUGAUCAGUGGUGCAGCAGGACAUCCAUUAACACCUCUGUACACAAUGUGUGGAACCACUUCUGUCUGUACGCACUCAGGGGAACGAUUCUGGAUGUUGACAGGUUUCUAAACAUCUCCGCAGCCCAUUAUUUCUGUGAAGAUUUAUGCAGAGGGUACUCAUUAUUCUAAUUGCUCUCACAUACCAUUAAUACGUGAUUCACAGUCCACACGAUAACAGAAAUACGCAUCACUUGGUAACGA
ensembl:lncRNA